UCCGGGGCAGAUUGAUGGUGUCACACACAAUGCUGGGAGAUGUCAUCACGUGGUACCUCCUUCUGUGAUGUCAUUACCCAGCACCACGAUGUCUGUCUAGAGCCAUGGG
rnacentral:pre_miRNA from 13 species